AAAACAAAAGGGAAAAAUAAAGAAAAACUAUUAGGAGACGUGUGAGAGAGAGAGAAGACGAAGAAGAGAAAGAGGGAAGAGAGACCAUGAAGAGAGAUGAGCAACAGCCAUUGUUUCGCUCAUGACGGCCAUUGCUUCAUUCGAGCAAUUCUUCGGAGUUACCUCCUUUGUAGCCUCGUUCGUCUUCGCUUCUCCCUCCGGUCUUCCCUUCUCCUUCCGAUCAACGAAUACCCGCGAACGAAGCAAACAGAGCCGUCUCACCUCUCCCUCCGGCCGGAGCUCUCGCACCUUCCCUCCCACCGCCCAAUUUCAGAUAGCGGAAUACGGAAAAGGGUUUGUGCAAGCAUCACAAGAUACUUGGAAGCUAUUUCAGGAGCGAAAAAUGGAAACCAUUGUUGACUCGGACAUGACCAGCUCAAUCUGCUUCUUCACAGGAGUUUGCAGCGGCUCAAUCUGUGUUAUUGUUGUAGCUGCUUGGACUGCUAGAGUCCACCAGGGUUUCACAGCCACCAUCUCCCUUCUAGCCUUCUUCAUCGGCUACCUAAUGGAACAAUCAAAGGCCAACAUCGCGAACAGAGAAAGGAUGUAUACAAAACAUAGGUGUGGUUCUAGGUCAAUCCCUGUUAGAGUAGAAAAACUGGCACGAGAAAAGAAGACGCUACCUGAUCUAGCAGAGUUGUACAAGGAAACUCACUGUAAUGAGAAAACACAUGAGUGGAUCUCAUCUCAAGCUCAGUGUAAUUAUGAAAAUAUGAUACAGACACAGGCUGAUCACCUCUCACAGCUGGGAUCAACCCCUCUGACUGCAGAAGAGCUAUCAAUCAAAGUCCUAAAGCCAAGGUCUGGCUAUGUGAAGGGACUUGGCAUGAGACCUUCAUUCUCUAUUAGGAGGACCACUAUCAUAUAUGCUGAAACAAAUAAUUAUGUGAAGCGCCUUGAGAUGCAAAUAGAGACACAGAAGAAACAAAUACAAAUGCAGAACAAUAAAAAUAGAAGAUCUUGAAGAGGGUAAGAAGAAGCAAGGGGAGAUAAUGGCUGAUGUUGUCAACUUUUUGAGGACCAAAGGAUUCACUGGACACUUUGGAAGUGGAGGGGACUCAUCCACAAGUGGGCAUACUUCUUGAUUGGAUUGGGGUGGCAUUUUUGACGUGCAACAAUGAUGUAAUUUGCUUGAAUGUUCAUUUUUGUUUGAUAAGGAUACACACUUUUUGGAGUUGCACUAGUUAUUGUUGGAUUUUUGGUGGAAUUGAACCAGUUAUAACUUUUGGAUAUUUUGUGAAUAUUUCACUAGUUUAUUGUAUUAGGAUGAAAUUAUUUGUAAUGAUGAAUGGAUAUUUUCAUUUUGUUAA